AGCUUGCUCCCUGGCGGCGAGUGGCGGACGGGUGAGUAACGCGUAGGAAUCUGCCCAGUAGUGGGGGACAACCCGGGGAAACCCGGGCUAAUACCGCAUACGCCCUACGGGGGAAAGCGGGGGACCUUCGGGCCUCGCGCUAUUGGAUGAGCCUGCGUCGGAUUAGCUUGUUGGUGGGGUAACGGCCUACCAAGGCGACGAUCCGUAGCUGGUCUGAGAGGACGAUCAGCCACACUGGGACUGAGACGCGGCCCAGACUCCUACGGGAGGCAGCAGUGGGGAAUAUUGGACAAUGGGCGCAAGCCUGAUCCAGCAAUGCCGCGUGUGUGAAGAAGGCUUUCGGGUUGUAAAGCACUUUCAGUGGGGAAGAAACGCAAGGUGCCAAUACCAUCUUGUAAUGACGUUACCCACAGAAGAAGCACCGGCUAACUCCGUGCCAGCAGCCGCGGUAAUACGGAGGGUGCGAGCGUUAAUCGGAAUUACUGGGCGUAAAGGGCGCGUAGGUUGUUCGGUCAGUCGGAUGUGAAAGCCCCGGGCUUAACCCGGGAAUUGCGUUCGAUACUGCCGAGCUAGAGUAUGGUAGAGGGGAAGCGGAAUUCCCGGUGUAGCGGUGAAAUGCG
rnacentral:rRNA from 1 species